GCCCCACCCCUAGCCCAACCAAACCCCCAAACACACCAACCAAAAAAACCAAACCAUUUGCUAACCUCAGUAUACGAGAUAGAACCGGACCCUUGGCGCAAUAGCCUAUUCAUACCACAAGGAAACAGUGAAAGAAAACUAAAUCAAACAAGCACAACAAAGCAGGGAUUACACCCCGUACCUCCUGCAUCAUGGUCUAGCAAGCACAGACAGGUAUAGAGAACUAUAAUCUGCUCACCCGAACCCAGACGAGCUACCUCCGGACAGUCACGCGGACGAACCCGGCUCUGUGGAAAAGAGCGGGAAGAUCUUGAGGUAGUGGUGAAACACCAACCGAGCCUGGCAAUAGCUGGUUGCUCACUAAAAGAAUCUAAGUUAAACUCUAGUGCCAAUAGUACUAAAAAAUUCCACCACUAGAAGCUAUGCCCCAGAGGACCAGCUCUGGUGCAACUGGAUACAGCCAAAACUAGAGGGCCCAACCACUUACACCCACCCCGUAGGCCUUAAAGCAGCCACCAAAAAAAACCGCGUCAAAGCACCAAACACACCAAUUCACUAACUAAAUCUCCCCCCCUACCACAAACUGAGCCACCCUAUAUAAACAUAGGGGAACUACUGCUAAAACUAGUAAUACGAGCCCCGCUCUCCAUGCACCCGCCUUCGAAUACCCAAAACAAUUACCCCACGCACACCAUCAAACCAAGUCCCCCGCUGCCCCCCCCCCGCCUGUAGCCCCGACACAGGAGUGCACAACAACAGAUUAACCGCCUUAGAAGGAAUUCAGCUAAUAUGCCCCACCUGUUUACCAAAAACAUCGCCUUUAGCCACAACAAGUAUUAAAGGUCCCGCCUGCCCAGGGAAUACAACUUUUUAACGGCCGCGGUAUCCUAACCGUGCAAAGGUAGCGCAAUCACUUGUCCCCUAAAUAGGGACCAGUAUGAACGGCUAACUGAGGACAUACCUGUCUCCUAAGACCAAUCAAUGAAACUGAUCUCCCAGUACAAAAAGCUGGAAUACCACCACAAGACGAGAAGACCCUGUGGGAGCUUUAAACUCCCCACUAAAUGCCCCGCCAAACACCAACCUGGCUUAAAACAUCAUGAUAUAGCGGCUAUUUUAAGUUGGGGCGACUGCGGGGUAAAACAGACCCCCCAUUAAACACGGCUUCCCGCCCUUAAAGGCGAACACGCCAACGAGACCCUCCCUACGACCCAGACUAACUGAACAACGAACCAAGUUACCCCAGGGAUAACAGCGCCAUCCCCCUCAAGAGUCCAUAUCGCCAGGGGGGUUUACGACCUCUCUGUUGGAUCAGGACACCCCAGUGGUGCAGCCGCUACUAAAGGUCCGUUUGUUCAACGGCUAACGUCCUACGUGAUCUGAGUUCAGACCGGAGCAAUCCAGGUCGGUUUCUAUCUGUGCCAUAUCUUCUUCAGUACGAAAGGACCAAGAAGACAGUGCCAAUAUUCACAACACGCACUGAUAAUACCAACUGAAUAAAAAUUAAACUGCAUAUCAGACAGCAACUGUCCGAUACCAGGACGA
rnacentral:rRNA from 1 species